rnacentral:rRNA from 1 species
UAAGAGGUGAGCAACCUGCCCCUGACUCUGGGAUAAGCGCUUUAAACGGCGUCUAAUACUGGAUAUGUGACGUGACCGCAUGGUCUGCGUUUGGAAAGAUUUUUCGGUUGGGGAUGGGCUCGCGGCCUAUCAGCUUGUUGGUGAGGUAAUGGCUCACCAAGGCGUCGACGGGUAGCCGGCCUGAGAGGGUGACCGGCCACACUGGGACUGAGACACGGCCCAGACUCCUACGGGAGGCAGCAGUGGGGAAUAUUGCACAAUGGGCGAAAGCCUGAUGCAGCAACGCCGCGUGAGGGAUGACGGCCUUCGGGUUGUAAACCUCUUUUAGCAGGGAAGAAGCGAAAGUGACGGUACCUGCAGAAAAAGCGCCGGCUAACUACGUGCCAGCAGCCGCGGUAAUACGUAGGGCGCAAGCGUUAUCCGGAAUUAUUGGGCGUAAAGAGCUCGUAGGCGGUUUGUCGCGUCUGCUGUGAAAUCCCGAGGCUCAACCUCGGGCCUGCAGUGGGUACGGGCAGACUAGAGUGCGGUAGGGGAGAUUGGAAUUCCUGGUGUAGCGGUGGAAUGCGCAGAUAUCAGGAGGAACACCGAUGGCGAAGGCAGAUCUCUGGGCCGUAACUGACGCUGAGGAGCGAAAGGGUGGGGAGCAAACAGGCUUAGAUACCCUGGUAGUCCACCCCGUAAACGUUGGGAACUAGUUGUGGGGUCCAUUCCACGGAUUCCGUGACGCAGCUAACGCAUUAAGUUCCCCGCCUGGGGAGUACGGCCGCAAGGCUAAAACUCAAAGGAAUUGACGGGGACCCGCACAAGCGGCGGAGCAUGCGGAUUAAUUCGAUGCAACGCGAAGAACCUUACCAAGGCUUGACAUAUACGAGAACGGGCCAGAAAUGGUCAACUCUUUGGACACUCGUAAACAGGUGGUGCAUGGUUGUCGUCAGCUCGUGUCGUGAGAUGUUGGGUUAAGUCCCGCAACGAGCGCAACCCUCGUUCUAUGUUGCCAGCACGUAAUGGUGGGAACUCAUGGGAUACUGCCGGGGUCAACUCGGAGGAAGGUGGGGAUGACGUCAAAUCAUCAUGCCCCUUAUGUCUUGGGCUUCACGCAUGCUACAAUGGCCGGUACAAAGGGCUGCAAUACCGUGAGGUGGAGCGAAUCCCAAAAAGCCGGUCCCAGUUCGGAUUGAGGUCUGCAACUCGACCUCAUGAAGUCGGAGUCGCUAGUAAUCGCAGAUCAGCAACGCUGCGGUGAAUACGUUCCCGGGUCUUGUACACACCGCCCGUCAAGUCAUGAAAGUCGGUAACACCUGAAGCCGCU